rnacentral:tRNA from 14 species
CGUGGUUUGGUGGGUGUAGGCGUCGGACUGAUGACCUUGCGGUUGUUGGUUCGAUCCCAU